rnacentral:lncRNA from 1 species
CCACUUUCUACCAAAAAAAAAAUCUAAAAUCCUAGCAGAGAUGGUCACAUAUAAAAUCUGUAAAAAUAAAUAAAGGUUUAAAGCAUGUCUCUUUUGUUAUUUUUCAUAAACUGGCCAGAACUGCAAAAGUGCAAAAUGAGUCUUUAAGCACAUUGCAACCUACUUAGAACAUCUCAAUUUUAUAUGCAUCAAUACUAUAAUAGAUAGUAAAGACAAAUAACACAUGAAUAAAAAAGUGUUUGAUCAACCAAGGAUUUAUUUUACAUAUGAACUACAACAAGAUAUAUUUAAACAAUAAAAAAUUUUAGCUAAACACUCAUUUAUUUAGAUGGACAUGCUCCUAACAAUCAAGAUGAGUUCAAAUCUUCUUGUUAAUGUGAAAACAUCUGCAACAUAAGAUUAAAGAGUUACCUGAGUCGCAGAAUAAUAAAUACAACAACAAAGAAUGGAAGCUCAACAACUAAAGCAGCAUAAAAAUAGCAGCAUAACAGCAGCAAAACCAACAACAAAUCCAUGUUAAAACAGCUCGAAAACUCAGAGAAGAAACCCAGAAGCAAACUCUAAAGAAGACUUAUACUUUUCUAAAAAAAAGGUUUGCACUUUAAGAUUCACUCAUAUGACUUACAAUUUCAUCUUACUAAAGGACGUUUCGGUUGCAAUUUUUUUUUGUUGUUGUAUGUUCAAAAGCAGAAAAAUGAUCCCCUCCAAAAUGUGAUGGAGUCCCCUCUAUAUAUCAAAUCAACCAGCUAUUUCAAAAAAUUAAAAAUCAAUCUUUUUGACAGAUUUUUCUACAAAAUCUGCUCUUAAAUUCAAAAAGCAAGACUUUCUAGUUCAAAUCUUGUCAAGUAUUUCAAACAAAAUCUGCUCUCCACUAUUCAAAGAUUGACUUUAUUCAAAUAAUGUCCAAAGGUCUACAUUUUCUUACCAAACAAUUUGACUUUUGAGUGUUGUACUCAAAGAGUCUUGAAGCAGUAAACAAACAACCAAACAAGUACCAUAUACUCUUAAGUAUUUUUCAUUACCUCACUUUUAUCAAUACAAAAUUAUUUUACUACUUCAACAAGUGCAAAAACAGAAAAUUUAACAUUUCAAACUUCAAAAACUAAUGCUAAAAUAAUUAAUAAUAGACAAAACUAAAAUCUGAAAAUUAAAAAUAAAAAUAAAAAAUCAGCCAUGAAAAAGAAUAGUAUUUUACCAUUUUACACAUCAAAAGGCCGAAAAAAUGGUGGUAUGCCAAAGAGGGUGUUCCGGGAAGUCGCCGGAAUUAGGCCAGAUUUUGGUCGCCGGAUUUUUGGGGUAGAAUUGACAUCAAUAGCUAGGUCUUGAGGAGCUCUAUCCAUUGAUGUAGGUAUUUUGGGGUGGUAGUGGUUGGAGCUUCAAGAAUUUGGGCAAAAAAGUUAUGGGAAAGUUUUCUAGAUCUAAGAUUCAAGGAGUUUGAGGGAUUUUUUUAGGAUUUGGUUUGGAGAUAUGGAAAGAAGAAGUUGUGAAGAUUACGUGGCGUGAAUUUGGAGGUGUUUGGAGGUGGUCCGCCGGCGGCGGCGAUUUCCGGCAGGCGGUGGUGGGCGGAGCUGGGGCGGCAUAGAGAGAGUGAAGAGAGAAGAAGGAGAGGGAAAGAAGAGAGAGGAAAUAAGGGGGAAAUGGGGCAAAUUUUUGGGGAUUUUAGGCUUUAAAUACCUAGGAUGAAGAUCAAACUAGGACCGUUGGAUUAAAUCAAGAUGGGUGGAUGAGAUUGAAUCUUG